ACUGACACUCUCUCCCUCCCUUCUAUAGCUGCCGCAGACAGGGAUCCCAUGCUGUGGUUUUUAGGGGCUGGGGGAGGAGAGUUAGAAGGGUCUGGGCCCACAAAGAUUGUUACCAGGAAAGUUAAGAUGUGUAACCUCAUUAUAAAUCCUGUUAGCAGAAGUACAGUACAGAGUAAACACACUAGCUGGCUGAACAUGUCUGACGAGAAGAGACUGACGCAGGGUAUUGAAACAAACCAGGGUUUUAAUAUAGCUGUUCACUCUCUUCUCUGUCCAUUUAAAGCCCAGGAUAAUAAACAUAUGACCCCACAUAUGACACCACAUACAGGCCUGAUUAGAUUAGGUUCAAUGUUCUGUAACUCCACAUACAGGCCUGGUUAGAUUAGGUUGAAUGUUCUGUAACUCCACAUACAGGCCUGGUUAGGUUAGGUUCAAUGUUCUGUAACCCCACAUACAGGCCUGGUUAGAUUAGGUUCAAUGUUCUGUAACCCCACAUACAGGCCUGGUUAGAUUAGGUUCAAUGUUCUGUAACCCCACAUACAGGUUAGAUUAGGUUCAAUGUUCUGUAACCCCACAUACAGGUUAGAUUAGGUUCAAUGUUCUGUAACCCCACAUACAGGCCUGGUUAGAUUAGGUUGAAUGUUCUGUAACCCCACAUACAGGCCUGGUUAGAUUAGGUUCAAUGUUCUGUAACUCCACAUACAGGCCUGGUUAGGUUAGGUUCAAUGUUCUGUAACUCCACAUACAGGCCUGGUUAGAUUAGGUUCAAUGUUCUGUAACUCCACAUACAGGCCUGGUUAGAUUAGGUUCAAUGUUCUGUAACUCCACAUACAGGCCUGGUUAGAUUAGGUUCAAUGUUCUGUAACUCCACAUACAGGCCUGGUUAGAUUAGGUUCAAUGUUCUGUAACCCCACAUACAGGCCUGGUUAGAUUAGGUUGAAUGUUCUAUAACUCCACAUACAGGCCUG